GACGAACGCUGGCGGCGUGCUUAACACAUGCAAGUCGAACGGAAAGGCCCUGCUUUUGUGGGGUGCUCGCGUGGCGAACGGGUGAGUAACACGUUAGUAACCUGCCCUUGACUUUGGGAUAACUUCAGGAAACUGGGGCUAAUACCGGAUAGGAGCUCCUGCUGCAUGGUGGGGGUUGGAAAGUUUCGGCGGUUGGGGAUGGACUCGCGGCUUAUCAGCUUGUUGGUGGGGUAGUGGCUUACCAAGGCUUUGACGGGUAGCCGGCCUGAGAGGGUGACCGGCGACAUUGGGACUGAGAGACGGCCCAGACUCCUACGGGAGGCAGCAGUGGGGAAUAUUGCACAAUGGGCGGAAGCCUGAUGCAGAAACGCCGCGUGCGGGAUGAAGGCCUUCGGGUUGUAAACCGCUUUCGCCUGUGACGAAGCGUGAGUGACGGUAAUGGGUAAAGAAGCACCGGCUAACUACGUG
rnacentral:rRNA from 1 species